GACGAACGCUGGCGGCGUGCUUAACACAUGCAAGUCGAACGGUAAGGCCCUUCGGGGUACACGAGUGGCGAACGGGUGAGUAACACGUGGGUGAUCUGCCCUGCACUUCGGGAUAAGCCUGGGAAACUGGGUCUAAUACCGGAUAGGACUCCUGGCUUCAUGGUUGGGGGUGUAAAGCUUUGCGGUGUGGGAUGGGCCCGCGGCCUAUCAGCUUGUUGGUGGGGUAAUGGCCUACCAAGGCGACGACGGGUAGCCGGCCUGAGAGGGUGACCGGCCACACUGGGACUGAGAUACGGCCCAGACUCCUACGGGAGGCAGCAGUGGGAAUAUUGCACAAUGGGCGCAAGCCUGAUGCAGCGACGCCGCGUGAGGGAUGACGGCC
rnacentral:rRNA from 1 species